rnacentral:rRNA from 1 species
CCUACGGGAGGCAGCAGUGAGGAAUAUUGGUCAAUGGACGAGAGUCUGAACCAGCCAAGUAGCGUGAAGGAUGACGGCCCUAUGGGUUGUAAACUUCUGUUAUAGGGGAAUAAAAUGAGCCACGUGUGGGAUUUUGUAUGUACCAUAUGAAUAAGGAUCGGCUAACUCCGUGCCAGCAGCCGCGGUAAUACGGAGGAUCCGAGCGUUAUCCGGAUUUAUGGGGUUUAAAGGGAGCGUAGGGGGCUUGUUAAGUCAGUUGUGACAGUUUGCGGCUCAACCGGAAAAUUGCAGUUGACACUGGCAGUCUUGCGUACAGUUGCGGUGGGCGGCAUUCGUGGUGUCGCUGU